UUAAGCGACUAAGCGUACACGGUGGAUGCCCUGGCAGUCAGAGGCGAUGAAGGACGUGCUAAUCUGCGAAAAGCGUCGGUAAGGUGAUAUGAACCGUUAUAACCGGCGAUGUCCGAAUGGGGAAACCCAGUGCAAUUCGUUGCACUAUCGUUAACUGAAUACAUAGGUUAACGAGGCGAACCGGGGGAACUGAAACAUCUAAGUACCCCGAGGAAAAGAAAUCAACCGAGAUUCCCCCAGUAGCGGCGAGCGAACGGGGAGCAGCCCAGAGUCUGAAUCAGCUUGUGUGUUAGUGGAACGGUCUGGAAAGUCCGACGGUACAGGGUGAUAGUCCCGUACACCAAAAUGCACAGGCUGUGAACUCGAAGAGUAGGGCGGGACACGUGGUAUCCUGUCUGAAUAUGGGGGGACCAUCCUCCAAGGCUAAAUACUCCUGACUGACCGAUAGUGAACCAGUACCGUGAGGGAAAGGCGAAAAGAACCCCGGCGAGGGGAGUGAAAAAGAACCUGAAACCGUGUACGUACAAGCAGUGGGAGCACCUUCGGGUGUGACUGCGUACCUUUUGUAUAAUGGGUCAGCGACUUAUAUUCUGUAGCAAGGUUAACCGUAUAGGGGAGCCGCAGGGAAACCGAGUCUUAACUGGGCGUUAAGUUGCAGGGUAUAGACCCGAAACCCGGUGAUCUAGCCAUGGGCAGGUUGAAGGUUGGGUAACACUAACUGGAGGACCGAACCGACUAAUGUUGAAAAAUUAGCGGAUGACUUGUGGCUGGGGGUGAAAGGCCAAUCAAACCGGGAGAUAGCUGGUUCUCCCCGAAAGCUAUUUAGGUAGCGCCUCGUGAACUCAUCUUCGGGGGUAGAGCACUGUUUCGGCUAGGGGGUCAUCCCGACUUACCAACCCGAUGCAAACUACGAAUACCGAAGAAUGUUAUCACGGGAGACACACGGCGGGUGCUAACGUCCGUCGUGAAGAGGGAAACAACCCAGACCGCCAGCUAAGGUCCCAAAGUCAUGGUUAAGUGGGAAACGAUGUGGGAAGGCACAGACAGCCAGGAUGUUGGCUUAGAAGCAGCCAUCAUUUAAAGAAAGCGUAAUAGCUCACUGGUCGAGUCGGCCUGCGCGGAAGAUGUAACGGGGCUAAACCAUGCACCGAAGCUGCGGCAGCGACACUAUGUGUUGUUGGGUAGGGGAGCGUUCUGUAAGCCUGCGAAGGUGACCUGUGAGGGUUGCUGGAGGUAUCAGAAGUGCGAAUGCUGACAUAAGUAACGAUAAAGCGGGUGAAAAGCCCGCUCGCCGGAAGACCAAGGGUUCCUGUCCAACGUUAAUCGGGGCAGGGUGAGUCGACCCCUAAGGCGAGGCCGAAAGGCGUAGUCGAUGGGAAACAGGUUAAUAUUCCUGUACUUGGUGUUACUGCGAAGGGGGGACGGAGAAGGCUAUGUUAGCCGGGCGACGGUUGUCCCGGUUUAAGCAUGUAGGCUGAUUGUCCAGGCAAAUCCGGAUAAUCAAGGCUGAGGUGUGAUGACGAGGCACUACGGUGCUGAAGUAACAAAUGCCCUGCUUCCAGGAAAAGCCUCUAAGCAUCAGGUAACAUCAAAUCGUACCCCAAACCGACACAGGUGGUCAGGUAGAGAAUACCAAGGCGCUUGAGAGAACUCGGGUGAAGGAACUAGGCAAAAUGGUGCCGUAACUUCGGGAGAAGGCACGCUGGUGUGUAGGUGAAGUCCCUGCGGAUGGAGCUGAGACCAGUCGAAGAUACCAGCUGGCUGCAACUGUUUAUUAAAAACACAGCACUGUGCAAACACGAAAGUGGACGUAUACGGUGUGACGCCUGCCCGGUGCCGGAAGGUUAAUUGAUGGGGUUAUCCGUAAGGAGAAGCUCUUGAUCGAAGCCCCGGUAAACGGCGGCCGUAACUAUAACGGUCCUAAGGUAGCGAAAUUCCUUGUCGGGUAAGUUCCGACCUGCACGAAUGGCGUAAUGAUGGCCAGGCUGUCUCCACCCGAGACUCAGUGAAAUUGAACUCGCUGUGAAGAUGCAGUGUACCCGCGGCAAGACGGAAAGACCCCGUGAACCUUUACUAUAGCUUGACACUGAACAUUGAGCCUUGAUGUGUAGGAUAGGUGGGAGGCUUUGAAGCGUGGACGCCAGUCUGCGUGGAGCCAACCUUGAAAUACCACCCUUUAAUGUUUGAUGUUCUAACGUUGGCCCCUUACCGGGGUUGCGGACAGUGUCUGGUGGGUAGUUUGACUGGGGCGGUCUCCUCCCAAAGCGUAACGGAGGAGCACGAAGGUUAGCUAAUCCUGGUCGGACAUCAGGAGGUUAGUGCAAUGGCAUAAGCUAGCUUGACUGCGAGCGUGACGGCGCGAGCAGGUGCGAAAGCAGGUCAUAGUGAUCCGGUGGUUCUGAAUGGAAGGGCCAUCGCUCAACGGAUAAAAGGUACUCCGGGGAUAACAGGCUGAUACCGCCCAAGAGUUCAUAUCGACGGCGGUGUUUGGCACCUCGAUGUCGGCUCAUCACAUCCUGGGGCUGAAGUAGGUCCCAAGGGUAUGGCUGUUCGCCAUUUAAAGUGGUACGCGAGCUGGGUUUAGAACGUCGUGAGACAGUUCGGUCCCUAUCUGCCGUGGGCGCUGGAGAAUUGAGGGGGGCUGCUCCUAGUACGAGAGGACCGGAGUGGACGCAUCACUGGUGUUCGGGUUGUCAUGCCAAUGGCACUGCCCGGUAGCUAAAUGCGGAAGAGAUAAGUGCUGAAAGCAUCUAAGCACGAAACUUGCCCCGAGAUGAGUUCUCCCUGAGACUUUAAGUCUCCUGAAGGAACGUUAAAGACGAUGACGUUGAUAGGCCGGGUGUGUAAGCGCAGCGAUGCGUUGAGCUAACCGGUACUAAUGAACCGUGAGGCUUAACCUU
rnacentral:rRNA from 2 species